AGCUCCGGCCAACUUCGUGCCAGCAGCCGCGGUAAUACGAGGGGAGCGAGUGUUGUUCGGUUUUAUUGGGCGUAAAGGGUAUGUAGGCGGUUUUGUAAGUCAACACUUAAAUCUUGAGACUUAAUCUCAUUACAGGUGUUGAUACUGCAUAACUACGAACUUAAUAAGGAUGAACACAAUUCCAAGUGUAGAGGUGAAAUUCGUUGAUAUUUGGAGGAGUACCAAAGGCGAAGGCAGUUCAUUGGGUUAAGUUGACGCUGAGGUACGAAAGCGUGGGGAGCAAACAGGAUUAGAUACCCUGGUAGUCCACGCCCUAAACGAUGAGUGCUAACAGUCUGGUAUAAAUAUACAUCUCGAAAAUAUGUCUUCGGAUAUAUCAGUAGGUUGUAUAUUUUAUAUUUAAUUGUAUAGCUAACGCGUUAAGCACUCCGCCUGGGGACUACGACCGCAAGGUUAAAACUCAAAGGAAUUGACGGAGACCCGCACAAGCGGUGGAGCAUGUGGUUUAAUUCGAAUCUACACGAAGAACCUUACCAGCUCUUGACAUUUUUGGCUAAACAUGUUAGAAAUAAUAUGCCGCUUACAAUUGUAAGAAUGCCUUGAACAGGUGCUGCAUGGCUGUUGUCAGCUCGUGUCGUGAGAUGUAUGGUAAGAAUGCCUUGAACAGGUGCUGCAUGGCUGUUGUCAGCUCGUGUCGUGAGAUGUAUGGUUAAGUUCCAUAACGAGCGUAACCCUUGCUCAUAGUUGCCGAAACAAAUAGGCUCUCUAUGAGGACUGCUAAUUAAAAGUUAGAGGAAGGUGAGGAUCACAACAAGUCAUCAUGGCCCUUAUGGGCUGGGCUACACACGUGCUACAAUGGUGGUUACAAAGAGUCGCAACGUUGUGAAGCAGAGCUAAUCUCAAAAGACCAUCUCAGUUCGGAUUGUACUCUGCAACUCGAGUACAUGAAGUAGGAAUCGCUAGUAAUCGUGGAUCAGCAUGCCACGGUGAAUACGUUCUCGGGUCUUGUACACACCGCCCGUCACACCAUGGGAGCUUCGCUUUGAUCGAAAUCAAGUCAACCUUGAUCACAUCUUGGCAAGUGACUGAGGUGAAGUCGUAACAAGGUAGCCGUAGGGGAACCUGUGGCUGAAACAUAA
rnacentral:rRNA from 1 species